AUAUGAAAUCAGUUAUGUAAAUUGUGAAAUAUAAUCCUGAUCCUGUCUGUUCAACUACUACAGAUAUCUAAAAUUACACUUUUGGCAAUGUUGGAUAACCACACUGAUGGAAUUCAAAGAAGCUGGGAAUUUCCUGAAGAAAAGUAGCUUCAUCCGGUUGUAAUAACUGAGUGACUACAUCAAAAUGAGGAACCUGAACAUGGAGAGAGAGGCAUACCAGGCUCAAGACAAUUGUCCAGCCCAGUCCUAGCUACUGUC
rnacentral:lncRNA from 1 species